rnacentral:rRNA from 1 species
UUAAUUCACAAUUUACUUAUAUUUAUUUUUUCUCCUUUUUUGAGAAGUUUCUUUUUUCUUAGUAAAUAGAUGAGAAUAGAUUUUUUUAGUAAUAGUUUAUUAGUACUGUGAAGGGGUAUUGAAAUAUAGUUGAAAUUAAUUAUUUUUGAAGUAUAUCUUGUUGAUAGUACCUUUUGUAUCAGGGUUAAUUAAUUUUAUUUAAUUUAUUUUAUUUUCUCGAUAUUAUAAGAGCUAAUAAUUUAAUUUGUUUAUUGUAGCAAAAAUAUCAAUAAUAAUUAUUUGUAAAGAAAUUUUAUUCGUUUAUAAAUAUAUCUAGUUUUUUAAGAAAUAAAUUGAAUUUAAUUCUGCUUUAUUAUUUUGUCUUAUUAUUGAGUCCAAUAAAGUGCAGAUUAAAAAUGAUAGGGGAUAAGCUCUAUCUUUUUCUAAAAUAUAAUUUUAUUUAAUUUUUGUAGGUUUAGAAUCAUCCAUCUUUUGAAUUACGUUAUAGUUUAUAUUAUUUUGUUUUUGAUUUAUUUUUAUUUAGUAUUAUAUUAAAAUAUUUAAGUUAACUUAAAUCUUGAAGUAAUUAUGAUUAAAUUAGUAUAUUAUUGUUGUUAGUUGAGUAAUAAAAGUUAAUUCACAAUAAGGAAUUCGGCAAAUAUAAUGUUCGCCUGUUUAACAAAAACAUGUCUUCUCGUUUAUUUGGGAAGUCUGACCUGCCCAGUGAAAUAAUUAUUUAACGGCCGCGGUAUCUUGACCGUGCAAAGGUAGCAUAAUCAUUAGUCUUUUAAUAGAAGACUGGAAUGAAGGGUUUGACGAAAUAUUAACUGUCUCAUUUUGAUAUUUUAAAAUUUAAUUUUUGAGUUAAAAAGCUUAAAUUUUAUUGGAAGACGAGAAGACCCUAUAGAGCUUUAUAAUUGAAAUUUAUAGUUAAAAUUUGUUUAAUGAAAUAAUAUUAUUAUUUUAAUUUUUUUGUUGGGGUGAUGGUAAAUAUAAAUAUAACUUUUAUAUAUUAAAAUUGUUCAUUUAUUUAUGAUUAUAAGAUCCAUUAUUAUUGA